UUUAAGACUAGACUUAAGACUUUCCUCUUUGAUAAAGCUUAUAGUUAGGGCUGGCUCAGGCUUGCCCUGUACCAGCCCCUAGUUAGGCUGACUUAGGCCUAGUCUGCCGGAGGACCCCCCUAUAAUACACCGGGCACCUUCUCUCUCUCUCUCUCUCUCUCUCUCUCUCUCUCUCGUAUUCUAUUACUGCAUCUAGCUAACUCGGCCAUUCUGGAUGUCACUAACUCGGCUUCUUCUCCGGAGCCUUUGUGCUCCACUGUCUCUCAGAUUAACUCAUAUCACAGCGGUGCCUGGACAGCGUGACGUGUGUGGUUGUGCUGCUGCCGUGGUCCUGCCAGAUGCCUCCUGCUGCUGCCAUCAUUAGUCAUUAGUCAUACUUCUACUGUUAUUAUACACAUAUGACUAUUGUCACACAUGUAUACUGCCAGAUAUUAAUACAUACUUUCAACAUAUUGUACCACAGUAACCAGAACUAUAACUAUAAUAUUAUUACUUUCAUUAAUGUUGUUGUAAGCUACUGUCAUUACCUGCAUCUCUCUCUCUCUCUCUCUCUCUGUCUCUCUCUCUCUCUCUCUCUCUCUCUGUCUCAUUGUGUCAUGUGGAUUACUGUUAAUUUAUCAUGUUGAUCUGUUCUGUACGACAUCUAUUGCACGUCUGUCCGUCCUGGAAGAGGGAUCCCUCCUCAGUUGCUCUUCCUGAGGUUUCUACCGUUUUUUUCCCCGUUAAAGGGUUUUUUGGGGAGUUUUUCCUGAUCAGCUGUGAGGGUCAUAAGGACAGAGGGAUGUCGUAUGCUGUAAAGCCCUGUGAGGCAAAUUGUGAUUUGUGAUAUUGGGCUUUAUAAAUAAAAUUGAUUGAUUGAUUGA